GUGAGCUAAUAUUCAUCCCUAUGCCGUGUCUGCUAAGAUGAAUGUGGGAGUUGUUGAGUACGGUGUAUGUGUAAUUCUGUUAAAUGUUUAUGUAUGUCGAUGUAUCAAUAUUUUUGUGUUUUUUUCGAGUCUCAUUCUGAAUGAGUAUUUUUCCGUGAAAAUGUGCUCAUCUAUAAAGACGUCAAAUUCAGUGGCUUUCGUUGCCCCAUAUUGAGAAAAAAAUGUUACACUUCAUUAUGAUACCUAUACUGUUCAUAAAAGCUGCGGUACUGAUCGAUCAAUAUCUUGAAGAAUUCGACGGAAAAUAUCUCUAUAAGCUGAAGAAAUAAAAAUUUAUCGGAAAAUUGAUUGGGAACCACUCAAGACAUAACAAAACCAAAUCAGUAACAUGCAAAACUGGCUUCCCCUACUCAAUUUAUUGAAUUUGAGUUCGGGAAGAACGAAGUAAAAUUGAAUUUUGAAUUUUCAUCAAUCAUCGUGUGGAAGAGUACGUCGUUUAUGUAUACAAAUUUGCAUCACUAGCAUAAUAUUCCGGAAAUUUAUAUGCAAUUUUUUGCAAACAAUAUUAUACCUAUGUACAUAGGUACUCUGCAUUUCAAGUUUCUUUGCGAUCAGUCGGAGUGAUUCUAUGGAUUGGCCUACAUAGUUGUGAAUGGAUUUAGAAAUUAUGACCAAAGCCUAUGCAUUGUUUCUGCUUACUUUUUUCUUAAUGUACCUAUAUAAUUUAAAUUUUGAAAAAUCAAAUCAAAAUGACCCGAACGAAGUGAGGGCAAAAGCUCCCGAAAUUUCAUGUUUCAAGAAGUAGAAAAACAUUUUUCUUCUAUUUGUUGAGGAGUUUAUUUAUUGAUUUAAACAUUUUUUGAGUUUGAAUGAUAGAAAAACUAACAGGGCUGAGCGAAGUAAGAGCAGAAGUUUUCAAAAAUUUAUAAUUCAAGUAAGUGCCUGGUGAAUUAUUAUUUUCUUACAAAAAGUCGAUUUCUUUACAUUUGACAUUUUUAAAAGUUAGGUGUCUACCUACCUACCUAGUACAGAUACAUAUUUCCCAGAUGCAGAAAUUCAGGAACAGAAAAACUGUAUUUAGCCUGAGCGAAGCGAUUAGGGGAAAAAAUCUCAAAAAUGUGCGAAUCAGGUUCCAAACAAGUAUGCAAAUACUCAAGUCUCUUUAUGAAGUUAAAACAUUUCCAAAAUUUAUCGACCUCGUCAAACGAUUUGCCGUCUUUUUCAAAGUUGACUACUUAGUCUCGUCUCUGGAUCUUUUAUCAGUUUUUUUUUUUAUUUUUUAAUUUGAAAUUUCAAGUACCUAUUGAGUUUACUUGAGCGAAAAACAUACUCACGAUUUAAAACUCUACUUGUAGAGAAAACUUGACCCACAUUUUUGAAGAAAUUAACUAAAAUUACUUUUAAAAUGUUUAUUCUACUACAGUGAAAGGCAUUUCAAUUUAAACUUUCCACACCUACAGCAAGAAUUCGAAAAUGAAAAUAUUUGUAGAAUCUUCAUUAUACCUAUCGCACAAAAUGUGAUGAAAUUUACCUAUUCCAAUCUAUAGUAGAUUUUAAUAUGUAUUUCAAGAUUAUGUUCUGAUAAAAUUUCAUCCAUACCCUUUUGUUUUGCCAAAAAAUCGAAAAACUAUACCUAAUUAAUUCUCCUGCACUAGGUCGAGGUAUUUGACUUCGUCAUGAAUUUCGUGGAGAUAUGACGCAAUAUUGAUGAAAUGUAUGAAAAAGAUAUAUUCCGGUGAGUGGUGUACUAGGCAACCAGUUUAUCACUUCAGAUUUUAAGAUCACAUAGGUAUAGUGAAGUGUAGGUCUAGGUACGUAGUAAGUAAGUUUUUAUCGGUUUUCGGUUUUCUCAAGAAGUGCGAAAGUGAACAGAAGUCGUUUUAACAAUAUUUAUGAUUAUUUAAAUCUAGUAAUAGCGAAAAAGAGGACAUUUUUUGAGGGGAGCGGACGAAAAAUUUGCCAUAAGAAAAAAAUGACAAGUUAUUAAAGAGAAAUAAAAGAUGAAAUGACAAUUUUGUCAAUUGAUAUAAUCGCAUUUGGGCUUACGAAAAAUUCUUACUUAUUUUACGUUUUGAAUUUAUGGAAGUUUCAAUUUUUUUUUUUUGUUUAGAGGAGAAAUAGAAAUUGACCCGAGCAAGAAAAAUAAACACACAGACCCAAGUGAAGUGAGGGUAGAAAAUUUCAAAAAUUUGUAUUUUGAGAGGUAAAAACAAUGUUUUUUGUAGUGACUGAUGAGUUUAAGUUUUGACCGCAUAGUUUUAUAAUUAAAAAUCAUGACUUGAUUUCGGGGUCUGAGUCCUUCAAAAAUGCCCCAAAAAAUAUUUUCGUCAGAAUAUUAGAAUUCCCCACCAAUUUUUUCAAAACUCCCAAAAGUCAAAACCCAAUUUCGGGCUCAAAAUUUUUCAAAAAUGCUAAAAGAAAAAAGAAACAGUUUUGUCGCUAUAAAUUGAGCAAGAAUGGCAAAAUACAUCGUUGAAACUUCUUCAAACACAAAUAAAAACCCUAAAGACACUGUGGACACUUCUGGUGAAGCGUAAAAUUCUCUUAUGUUGUGCCUUUAUUAUACGUAUUCCUAAAAAUAGGCUAUAAAAGUGUUAAAAACGUGUCAAAAUGACUCAAAAAGACUCAAAAAGCUAUCAAAUUUCUGCAUACCGCUGAAGAAAAGAUAACAUUUCUGUUAAGUAGGUAGAUGAUAUAUCUGCGUAGAAAGAUAUAAUUUGCAACAAUUCUUUAAAACAUCGUUAAAAUUACCUAAAAACAUGAAAAUCACAAAAAAGUUAAGAAAAUUCAAUAAAAUUCGCAUAAAAUUCAUGAAGAUGUGUGUAAAAACACUCAAAAACGCAUUAAAAUUACCAAUCGGGGAGAAUCAUUAAAGGUGGACGAAAUUUCAGUAAAUUUACACAAAAUGCAAACAAAAUCGAAUAAAAAUUCGUCUAUUGAGAUGUUCAGCUGAAACUGAAAACUAAACUACGAGUACCUACCUUUUAUUGUGUAUUUUUUUGCACACUGCCAUCUCGGUUUCCGAGAGAUGAAACUUUGAACUUCGGGAAAGAAAGUAUAGUUACACUCAAAAGAUGUGGGAUGUUGAUAUAUUGGGAUAGUUCACAAGGUAGUAAAUUUUCGAUGAAAAUAAUGAUAUGUACUUAGAUAUCAUUUUGAGAUUUUCAGUUUGUUCAAAAUUGUACCCUCAAGAAAGUUUUUCAUUAAAAAUAUAGGUUGGCAACGUGAAAUAGAUGCAUAUGAUUGGUGAAAUGUUAUCUCUCCAGUCCAACAACCAAUCAUGCGCUAUCAUUAUUAUCAUUCACUGUGACCAACCGAAGUAUUUUAUCAGAAAACUUUUUUAGGAGUACUCGAUAUUUCUGGGCACCCUGUAUUGGUUGUUGGGUAUGAAAUGUAAGUACUUCGGAACACGUUAAUGAAAAUUAUUAGGUAGGUACCUACCUAAUUAUAAGAGGAAUGAAUGUAAUUUUUUCUGCUUCAAAGUGAUAAUAGAUAACUUUACGAAAUUGUUUUUGAGCCAGAAGGCCUUAUGAUGAAUAGAACGAAAAAUACCAUUCUCAAAAUGCAAAAAUUGCAAAAAAUGCACAUGUGGAUCCGAUAAAAAAAACACCCUCAGAGCUGAUAUUUGGUAAAUUUGUACUACCUGAGUCAUGGAUUUUUUUCAUCUACUUAUUUUGAUCCGUUGUCACAUUAUAGGGGUCUGCCUCCUUGAAGGGGCGGUGGUGGUAUGCGAUGAAUCUAACACUUUGAGCGAAACAUGGCGAUCAAUACUGAACAGUAAAUGGCUUAUUACCUAUUUCAAUUCUGAUGGAAUUUCCACUAGUAAAAAUUUCUUGCAAUUUGGUGUUCUACUGGGGCACAUAAAGAGGGGAGUCGUGUAAUUUUUUGCACAGUGUAUUACUUUAUUCAACAAAUAUUUCUUACCAUAACAAAAAGAAUUAACAUUUGGCUCAUCAUUUCCACCAUGUUUUAGCAUUAUAACGGCAAUUUUGGGCGUUUUUCAAGUUUGAGUCGCCACUGGAGGCAGAGGAGGAGAAAACAAAAAAUUGAACCACCAAAAUUAUUUGUAUGCUUUACAUAGUGGUAUAUCGAUGGUUCCAAUGAUGAAAAUAGAAAGUGCUAAUCAAUAUCUAACAACAUACAUCAUAGUCCAUAAUAUUUGAUUUCUGAUCAAAAUUCGAUCCACAGAAAUUGUAUCAAAAUUGUAAGCCCCACACCCCUCGAAGGAGAGGGAGCCUGAGUGGCUCUCCCCUCCUCAAAAAAUGAAAACUGACCGUUCCUUGCUUCAUUCAUCAAGACACCUACAAUACAUAAGUACAAGUUAUGGGGAAACAACUAUUAACCAUUGAUUUUUAUAAAAUCAUUUUAUUCUGGAGCCAACAGAAAAUAUUUAUGUAGGGCCCUGACCUGCCGAACUCCCCCCUUCCCCAUUGUUAUUUUGAUGAAAAAUCAAGUCACCGAUGCAUAAUAUUUCACUCUUGAAAUAAAAUUACCUAUAGCACGAAAAAUGGCAUUUUUCGUCAAUUUGUUGACAAAUCGGAGGGGAGGGGGAUUUUCUCACAUAUUCGUCUACAAAUUGGUAAAAUAUUCCAAAAAUGCAAAAAUUUUCAUUUUUUAGGAUUCUGAUACGGUACCUACUUUUGCAACAACUGUAAAACUUUUUAAUUUUUUUUUCUCGAAAAUGAAAAAAAAUGCCAGUCCAAUUUUUUGAUAUGUUAUUCUACAUGAAAAGGACUAAAACUGAGAAUUUUUUUUAGAAUUUUUACUGGGGGACAUCACGGUUAUAUUUGAAUUAUAAGUUUUUAAAUCGAUUUUUUUAGAUUUUUGAAAGUGGCAACACUGAUUUUGGCAUCAUUCGUCAAUUACCCUCUCAAAGUACUACAAUUUGAAAAAAACUUGAAAAUUCUAUACCGCGUACAACCGGAGCAAUUUGCAACUGAAAUUUUCCAUUUUCGGCCAUUUUGGAGGAUUUUGAAGCGCCACAGCUCCGUCAAAAAAAAUCGAAAAAAUGUCCGGUUUGCGUCAUUCGUCAUCGUUUGAUGACCUCUACAAAUGAUCUGAUUUUGAAAAAAAUCGAAGACCCUCUCGUGCAAAAAUCCGCCGAUUUGCCAUGGAAUGACCCAUCAGCAUUUGGUGAAAAAUUUGAAAAUUAAGAAAAAAACACAUUUUAGCCCCCCCACCUCCCCAAUACUUGCUUAAGGGGUCCAAAAUUUUCAUCGCAGUUUUUUCUCAUAGUGGUUGACCUUUUGAGGCAGAAGCGGUUAAUACCUGUUUCAAGGGCGAAAUAAACUUUUGAAGCAUUCUGGAGACAGAAUAAAGCAUUUUACAGAAAAAGGAAGUCGAAGGAAAAUUGUAGAGAAUUAAAUUUCCAACUAUCAUAUUAAUGUCCUUGGUUUUUUUUUUCUAGAAUGCUUAAUUUUCGAUGUACAUAUUUGAAAAAGAAAGUACAUGAAUACAAGAACGGCAUUUUUUCUAUUUUCAUCAAAACUUUAGUGUUUCCAAACUUCCAAAAAAUUGCAUAAAAAUUCCAAAAUGAGCGCUCAAACCUUUUAAAGCUUUAUGCAGAAGUGCAGGCGGAUACAAAAAAUGAACUUGAAGAAACAUUGUAGAGAAUUAAAUUUCUAAUCGUCAUAAUGUCAUUGUUUUUUUUUAUAGGUGACUUAGUUUUUGAUAAGUAUAAAAUAAAUAUUGAAAUGCAAUUAUCUCAAAAUUAAUUUUAUUGCACUGAGCUUCUUUGCAUUUUUGUGAUACAUUUUUAGACUCCCUUUACUCCUCAAACAAAUUAUUGGAAAGGGUGGAUUUUCGCACUAGUUGGUAGUAAACAUACCUAUCAAAUAAUGCUACUGUAAUGUGCCAUGAUUUUUGCCGUUCUUCACUAAUACCUACCUAAGAAUUGGACACAAAACAAAUAUUUGAAUGCGAUUAUCUCGAAAUCAAGUUUUUGGCACUAUUAGCUCCUUUUGAACUCUUGCAAUAUUUACAAAUGCCUAUGAGCUCAUAUAAAAAUUUAAUUACACUCUCGGCUAAACGCACUGCAUACAGGCUUUCCAAUUAAUGCAUAAAAUAAGAAUAAAUGAUUCAAUUCAAUUCAUUUUAUUGGAGUUGACAGCUUCCGAUUUACAUAUUUACCUAUACAAUGGCAAUGCAACAACAAUAUGAACACAAAAAAUGAAUUACAUAAUAGAUAAAAUUGAAUUAGUAUAAUUAUAGUUACAUAUGUAUAUCAUUAAACAUGGUACAGGUACAGGAAAAAAAAUGAAUGAAAAGCACAAAUAAUCUUAGAAAUCAUUUUAGAAAAACUCUUUUGUAAGAACCUUUUUUUGAAUACCUAUGUUAUAAAACGUUUGAAAUAAGAAAAAAAAAACAAAAAACAAAA